UACGGGGGGUGCGAGCGUUGUCCGGAAUCACUGGGCGUAAAGGGCGCGUAGGUGGCGUCGUAAGUCUGUGGUGAAAGCCCGGAGCUCAACUCCGGGUCUGCCGCGGAUACUGCGAGGCUUGAGUGCUGUAGAGGGGGGUAGAAUGCCGGGUGUAGCGGUGGAAUGCGUAGAGAUCCGGCAGAAGACCGGUGGCGAAGGCGGCCCCCUGGGCAGUAACUGACACUGAGGCGCGACAGCGUGGGGAGCAAACAGGG
rnacentral:rRNA from 1 species